UCUUUUUAGUUUUUUCACUUUCCAUUUCAUCAGAAAACCAAAUCCUAGCAAAACUCUUCCUCCAUGAAAACCAAAUCCUAGCAGAGCUUUUUUUUCAAAUUCAUGGAGGCUCCAUCGGCUCGACACCGCCUCGCCGUCGAUUUGAGUUUGCACGACCAUCGCUCAACUCAUUUUAGAAGGAAGAUUCACUGUUUAUGCGCUUGUGUUUUGUUCACAUUCGUGUUUCUUCUUCUGCCGCUGUGAGAUCGUACGUAACAGCGACGAGCUCGAUUUCUUCGUUAGAUUCGCUUCAGUUUCGUUUUCGGUCGAUAACUUCUUUGUGUCGCUAAGAUGCAGUUGCAAAUUGAACUGCGACGAUGAAGACAACGACGAAUUCAGAGUGAAGAAGCUUAAGUUGAGGAUUUCGUGUCGCCAAGUGACUCUUCAUCUGCUGUAAAUUGAAGGACUUGUGAUUUCUGGGUGUUUUAUCCUUGUCUUUUUAGUUAUAUAGCAUUGGUUGAAACUUCACAUUCUAGUGGCUGUAUGGUUGUUAUGCCAAAGGCUUAUGUUUUGGUAUUGAAUCAAAAACAACAAAAUAUCGUCAUUCUAUUUUUUUUUUUUUUUUUUUUUAUGUUUCUUUUGUUAGGAUGUUGAUAUUCUUGUAAAUCUAAAUCUCAGGUACAUGUUAAGUUAUAAUAGUUUUCUUGUCUUCUUUUGAUUCUUUCCUUACAUGCAAUUCUUAAAAUGUUCAAAACCUAGAAAUUUCAAAUAAUCACAUGCAUCUUCUAGUGCCAUUUAUACUACAGACCUAGAAGCAACUGAAUUAGUGUUGAUAUUUUUUGCUUUUCAAAUUGGUCCAUAUUUCUAGUGCCUUUGGAUUAUUGUUAUGCAUGCUAUAUGAUCAUGGAUACAUACUCUAUCUACUUUUGAAUUAUCAUUUACUUAGGAGUUUAUCAUUUA